UACGUAGGGUGCAAGCGUUGUUCGGAAUUACUGGGCGUAAAGCGCACGUAGGCGGACUGUUAAGUCGGGGGUGAAAUCCUGGGGCUCAACCUCAGAAUUGCCUCCGAUACUGGCAGUCUCGAGUGCGGGAGAGGUGAGUGGAAUUCCCAGUGUAGAGGUGAAAUUCGUAGAUAUUGGGAAGAACACCAGUGGCGAAGGCGGCUCACUGGCCCGUAACUGACGCUGAGGUGCGAAAGCGUGGGGAGCAAACAGG
rnacentral:rRNA from 1 species